rnacentral:rRNA from 1 species
UACGUAGGGUGCGAGCGUUGUCCGGAAUUAUUGGGCGUAAAGGGCUCGUAGGCGGUUUGUCGCGUCGGGAGUGAAAACACCGGGCUUAACUCGGUGCUUGCUUUCGAUACGGGCAGACUAGAGGCAUGCAGGGGAGAACGGAAUUCCUGGUGUAGCGGUGAAAUGCGCAGAUAUCAGGAGGAACACCUGAGGUGAAGACGGGUUGCUGGGCUGACACCGACGCUGAGGCGCGAAAGCUAGGGUAGCAAACGGG